GGGUCGCGUCCUGCAGUGAGAGCCGAGGUGCGAGGGAACCGCCGCGCAUAAGCUUGCCACAAGAUGGCACUGAGAGGGAAGCCCAGGAAAAAAACUAAUAGAAAUGGCCGCGGCAUGAAAAAAGGCGGGAAACGUCUCUAUGGAGACGCCAGGGCAACACACAUAGUGUGUGAGGAAAACUGAGCGGCUGAGCGGACCGGCAAGAUGCCGGGCGCCGUGAGGAAAGUGGAAAUUAAACGGACAGUAC